AUAAUUUAUUAAUUCUACUGGUUUACUAUCAGAAAUUUGGUGGCAUGAGAUAAAAAGACUCUCCGCAUCCCCAGGUGCACACCUCAGGAUGUCAAAAUCCUCCAUGUGCCACCCACCCAUGUCUUGUGGGGGGAGGGAAGGGAUGGUGGGUGCCUCACUGUCCCCUGCUUAUUAUCCAAAUACAAACUUUAUCUAGCAAAUAUAUGUCAUAUUAGUUUUUAAAAAAAGGGCUGUACCUUUGAAUUUGUGCAAAGAAAGAAAUUUGUGCAAAGAAAAAAGACUUCCAAACCAGUGUGUGUAAGUUCCAUUUAAUGAGUCUUUUUUGUUUACUGAGACAUGUUGAAGGCAUCAACUGGAUGUUUGAGACUCCCCACCUAGUGGGGACUUCACAAAUUAAGUUCCUCCAGCAUUCUGUUCAUUUCUUCCAAUACUUUUAAUAAAUAAAAAUUAGAUGUGUUUCUGUGGCUGAGCCACAGUCAAGCUGUGGCCUUGGCCCCAUUGGGCUAUAGAGGUGGCACCUGCUCUGACUGAGAGUCUGAUUCUUCUGUUACUUCAAGAUAGGCAUAUACAAAGGGCCCAAAGGUGGCCGGUGCUCCUGGCUCCAGAGAGCAGGCAGCCCCUUCCAAAAAGCUUUAAAGUGUUGGCUCUCUGGAGACCUCUUCCCACUUCCCUGUUACUCCUGACUCUGACCUCUCUUUUCUAAUAUAAUGGCCAUUCUGGUGUGGCUCUUCAGGGCAGGGACCUCAACUUCAUUCUUGCUUAAAUCCAAUCCACCCCACUGCCCUUGUCCAUUCUGCAGCACUGAUCCUGUUGGCCCAGAAGGUGGUUGUGUAGUAUCACCUAGUUAUCAGGGAGGUGGGGCCAGGGUAGUUCAUCCUAGAGAGACCAACACACACCCAGACUCUGCCCCAUACUUCCAAUGCGGAGGGCCCCCACAUGCACCCCAGAGGCCCAGGGCAUACUGUUUUAUGAGAUUUUCAUGACAGCUAUAAGCAGUGUGCAAGAUGGUCUAUUAGCAGGUAUGCAGGUAACUUUCCCAAGUCCCAUUCUUCCGUCCUACUCCAACCCCAACAGAGAAGAGAGAAGAUGCCCUACAGGGACACCCCCUCCCCCAGGAGCAGCCAGCAUGCAUCUAAUCAGUGCAGAGAAUUUCAGGCUGAGCCGAAAACAUACUCACAGGAACAGCACAGAAGCCAUUAUCUACAGAUACACUAGAAAUGUGACUUUCUAUUUAUCUUCCGAAAUAAUUUUUUGAAAUUUGCAUUUUUAGUAUUUUAGACUUGCAAAAAAUAAAUAAAUAAGUAAAUAAACUGGGUCCUGCCAACCCUAACUAUGUAUAUACCAAAUGAUGCAUAUUGCUUCUUUUUUAUUCCUCCCGAAGAGCAUCUCAAAGAGAUACAUAUAUACACAUACCAACUAUUAAUUUGACACCAGAUGAGGAGUACCAGUUGGUUUGAAGGGUAAAUAUAGGCAGAAUCUGCCCAAGACCAAAGCAAUCUGUUAAUGUAAUAAGGACAAGUAGCUAUUUCAGAAUGUAUCUCCAAAUACUGAAGAACUACUUUAAAUGAAGAACUAGCUUCCCAUCACAGAACAAAAACCAAGACCUUACAAAGAUUACUCCCACCCCUGUACGACUUUGCCCAGAGACUGAGGCCAUCUUUAACCACCAGUCACCUUACUGCCUCAGGGCCUUCACAUGUGCUAUCUCUUCUACCUGGGACAGUCUCUUUGCAGAGAGCCCAUUACUCACACCUCACUACCUGUCAGUCUUUGCUCCAAUGCACCCCUCAACAAGGUUUUCUUUGCUUUCUUGAUUUAAAAACAUAACACAUCCCACCCACUGUACCCAUUUCCCCAUACAUCUUCCUCUUGUGCACUUGUCUGAGCACUGCAUGUGUGAAUUAUUCAUUGAUCCAUUUAUUACAUCCACCAAGCUUCCAUAGAAUGUAAGCUCCAUUUGGGCAGGACUUCAUGUAUGUCUUACUCACUGCUGUAUGCUGGCACCUAUAACAGUGCCUGAUACCUAUUAGACACUGGAUAAAUAUACAUUGAAGAAAGGAAAUGCUAUCAGUAAUUUGAUAGCUAUUAAGAGGCCAAAAAUAAAUGUCAAUUUUGGCCAUCAUCAAAUCCAAAUUCUUGGACCUGGGGAUAUAGCUCAGUUGAUAGAGUGCUUGCCUCACAUGCAUAAGGCCCUGGGUUCAAUCCCCAGCACCACCAAAAAAAAAAAAAAAGUCCAAAUUCUUCUGCUGUCCCUACUUACAGAGACGGUUAGCUGAUUGAAUGGCUUGGUUCCUUCUCCUGCAUACAAGUACAAGAGGGCUAGAUAUGGUAGUGAGCUUAUCCACCUAGUGGCAGCAGUAGCCUGUCUCUGACUCUGAACAUCUGCUCUGUGGUCAGGAACUUUGGAACAAAUGGAGGUAAAAACUGUUUCCUCCUGGUUAGUUCUUAUAAUCAGAUGCAUUGUGAGGGGCACCCAUCAUGCCCUUCCUUGAUGUAAUUGUAGACCUGGACCAUUCUACAGAAGCUUUUAUAAGCAGUCCUUAGGUAUCUCUUAAUUCUUUCUAACCCAAACAUAGUGGCAAUGGAUAGUCCAGCCAAGCAAAGGGAUCCUGACAACUAGAAAACCCAUUCUUCAGUCACCAAAAAGCAGGCAACAAAGGAAAAGGAACUUGUCACACAGAAUAACUGGCACAGGGGUGGGUAGCUAUGUUGACAAAUGUGGAAACAGCAGAGAGCUAAGAGAGCCAAGUUCCCCAAGACUCAGUCACUGCUGGGUGUGCAGUGGAGUGUCGGAGCCUUCACACCACAGAGCCAAACAACAUACACCUCCUUGGGCCCAGGCCCCAGAGCGGUGGUCCUCAAGCUCUGGCAGGCGACUUCACCCACAGCAGGGGAGGGAUGAUCCCCCUCUGAGCUGCCUCCCUCUGCCAGAUGAUUUUCACAACUACCUAAUAGUGAUUGGUGUUUACUUCCAGAUCCUUUGGCCAAAUAUGUUUUCCUCUAAGAGUUUUUGGCAAAAUACUGUUACCAGCUGCUUAUAGAACCUUUGUCCUGCUGUGUCCUGGUUAAAAGGCUUCGUCCUUCUCUUUACUCCUUUUCCAUGGUUUUUGCUUUCAUUUCUCUGGAUGCCAUCUUUUGGGGUCUCUCAGGGGAUUGGUUCUCUUUGUAACACCCUCUGUGCAGCUGUCCAGCAGGGAGUGGGCACAUGUGUGUGUCCCUGCAUUUAAAUUGCCAAAUAAACCACGUCCCUUUUGUUACUGCCCAAACAGCCUGGGGUAUGCUCCUGCCAGGACCCAGAGAGAGGAAGUGUGCUUUCCAAAGGCCCAUGUCCUUGGCCCACACAGAGCUGUCUCUGUAGCAGGUACCCACAGAGGUCUCCCAAGCCCUGUGGGCUGUCUGGCUCUUUGCAUAUAUCCUUCCUGAUUUGAAGCACCUAUUUUAGUAUUAUGAGUUGGCAAAUGGGAGUGGAGCAGCUUGUGUCUACUCACUUAAGUUCAAAACAAGUAAAAUCACCACGAGCACAUGUUGGAUAUCAGCCAUGUCUUAGGCCCUGGUCCACACAGAAGCAAACGCCCUCUGCCAGAGCCAGUCUCCAUUCAGUAGGAGCUUGCCCCUCCCACACACCCAGGUGAGAAAUGCUGAGCUCUCAGUCAUACAAAUAAAGGAACACUUAGGAGCAGGGCAUUGGUUCACCUGAGUCCAAGAAGGGACAAAUCUCCUCAGUGACCACCCACUGCCUCAUCUGCAGAGCCUGAAAUCCACUCAACAUCAUUUCUGAUGAACUGUUCGGUCUCAUUCAUUGUAAUUGAGGCUCAUCAAAGUCAUUUAUAACAAAGGACCUCUUUGUAUUUUCUUUAUUCCUUUAAACAUGCAUUUGACCUAAGGAAGUCAGUAGAAAUAUUGUUCCCAUUUUCCUUUAUCUUUUUUUUUUUUUUUGGGGGGGGGGGGGUUGUUAAUAAUUGACUGAUUCCUGGAAGAAAUAAGUUGCUUUGCCUUAUUUAUUUGAUUACAAUGGAUAAAGGAAAACAUUUGAGGCAAAAAAUGGGUCAUAAAUCACAUUACUUUGACCAAGCUGUUCAGAACCCUUUUCUACCUAUGAGUGUUAAUCCUGAUUCAAUGCAAAUAUUAUUUUCCAUCUGGUUCAUUCUUGGAGAAGAAACCCAUUGUAAGAGCUGUCUUUGGUGGUUGGGUUGUUACUUUGUAAAGUAUUAAAGCACUAAACCAAUUUUUGCAAUAUAUAGUAAAUCUUGCUUUCAUUUUGGAAAACUUCCAGUAAUGACUACUGCACUUUUUAUAGAAGAACUGUAUUUAAUUUCUUUCUUUUAUGAAAGAUUAUUUCAAGUAAAAAUAGCUCUGUAAUCCGUGUGACACGGCUUCUCC
rnacentral:lncRNA from 1 species